CAAUUUACAACCUCAAUCUCUUCCAGCUUCACCCCAAAACCCUAGUACGUCUCUCUCUCUCUCUCACUAACUAUUAUCAUCGCUGGGAAAAAUCGUAAUUUUCGUCCUCUUAAUUCUCACCAGAAUUAUCCUUGGUGAAAUUACCUCCUAUUUGCUUCUCCUUGUAGUUUCCCAAAUUUGUAUAUCUAUUCAGUGUCCUUCUAUUUUCUCGAUCGCUACCUGCCUCGCUUCCUCCGGCAUCGAAAUGAUUAGAUUUUUCUUCGUUGUCUCCCCAUGGUGUGCGCCUGAAUAUGUAAGUGUCCGUUUCUUAUGUAAGUGUUUUUUUAAUUUGCGAAAAAUGGCUCAUACAAUUCUGUAUUCACGAUUUCGAUUAAGGACUGAAGCUCUUAAAAUAGAACCUUUUUGGGUAUAGAGAUUUUCCUACCUCUAUUAGUCCCAGCAUUGACAAGUUGGGGAUAGUAAAAUUCUCAACCCUCAGUAAAAUCUGCCUUUGGGUGGUACUUGGUACGUGUCAUGUGCUUGUGAAUAAUCCUGUAUUUCAAUUUGGUUCUCUACAGACCUAUUUCUCCACUGUGGGUAAGCUAUGGAUUUUAGACGUACAACAUAAUGAAUGUUGGAGCUAUAGCCAGUACUAUAAAGUGACUGUAUUUUUUAUAAUGAAGUAAAAGUCAUUAAAUUAAUGUAUUUUACCGGUUGAAUUACCGUAGGGGGAAGGGGUACCUCUACACUUAUUUGUCCAACAAAAAUAGGUAGCUCCAUUCAAUUCUCAAAACAAAUUUUGGUGCUAUAAUAAUCAAAUGGUUAUAAUGCACCGUUUAUGCUUAGGAAGACAAUACAAAAGAUAAUGAUAUUGUUGUGUCAUGGGGAAAUGCAUUGGCUUAGUAGGAAGAUCACUUAUUGAGAUUGGGCUUUACCUCCCCUUUAUGAGCAUAAAGACAUUGUUUUCUGGAAUUAAAAAAUAAAAUAAAAAAUCUUAUUUGAUGUAUUAGAUUUUGAAUAGAAUUAUGCUAAUAACAGCAAGGGGUUGAUUAGUGGGCUGGAGAAUUUGCUUUGAGAAGCUCAGUUAAGAAGAUGAAAGUCUGAAAGCUCUUUAGAGUUCUCAUGGUCGGGAAGCUUAGCAACAACUAUUUUAUACCUACUCAAGUUGAGAGACGAAGAUAUUGGAUACUUUUACUAAGACCAAGAACAAAUGUAAAACAAAUUUGUGAUCAAGUUUGUUUACUAGAUAAACAUGAGGAAUAUUUUUCAUAGAAUAUCUAUUUUGGAGUAUAUGCAUAAUUUACUGUUUUUGCUUGGGUAAGGUUGUUCUCGACACUAGAGAUUUGUUAACAGGCCAUCUGCAUCUCCUAGAUAUUCUAAAUAUAAGAUACUCUUUAUUUUAUAGAGUCGUUGCUUUAAAAUAAGUUUAAAAAGACUCCAUUUUAACUUUUUAAAGUAGAGAGUGAAUUUGACUCCAAAUUUGAAAAGCCUAACCCACUCUAUAUUCUUACUUUAUAAAUAUUGCAUUUAAUUAGUUACAGAUUUCAAUACUCCAGUUCUUAAAUUAUUUUAAUCUUAUUUGAAUUGAUUGAUCAUUGAUAUUAUUAUUAUUAUUUAUUUUUUUAAAUUAUAAAUAAGAUGCUCUUUAUAAAUUGUCUCUUGUAUAUGCUCUAAGAGCCUUGUAAAGUUAUAUAUUUAAUGAGAUUACUUCUUGCAAUAAACUAAAAAUUGAAGAAAGGAAACUGAAGAUUGUAGAAAAAUGAUAUCUUUGCUCUUAUGGAAAUUUUUUUAAUUGUCUUUCUAUUAUGAUUUAAAAGACAGAACGUGACCUGAUCUAGGUGUAUUAUAGUACAUAUCGAAACCGUAUAGAAAUUUUUUGUUGGAACUCCUUCAAAUAAGAAAGAAAUAUGUAAUAUAAAUUUCCUAUAGAAGGAUAUGCCUUGGAGUCCAUAUAAUUCUAGUGCUCAUGAUAGUCACCAGCUAAUCAGCUAUAAUCUAAAAUUAGGGAUAAUUGGUACCAGGAUUCUACUUAAGUAUCUCAUAACGCUGAGGUCUUGGGUUACAAUUUUGGGGACGCUGCCAUUUGCCAGGUUGCUACUGCUUCCGAGUGACAUUACAAGUGUAUGGGUGUCUCCAUGCUAUUUGCUUGAUAAUGAAGUAGAAGGGAGGCUGUGGAGUUGACUGAAACAAUUCAAAACUUAUGGAUAUGUUCUAUUUGAGUUGUGUCUUGUUGUCUGGUGGAUUGAUUUGCUGGGCAAAUUGAUAUGUCAUUUGCAAUGGAUGUAUGGAAUAACAAUCCCAUUUCAACUUAUUAUAGUAUAUUUCUAUGUCAUUCUGCCAUUUGCUGGCAGAACAACAGAUUGGGGGUGUGGACAAAGUUCUUUAAGAACUUAACGUUACAUCAAUCCCAAUGUUAAUGGUUUAUGAAGUGAUGGUUUUCUGGUUACUAAGUUUUGAACUUCCAUCUUUUGGACUUAUUGUUGACAUCCUCAUUAUUGGUAUAUUUCAAAACUUUAUAUGGACUUGUGAGAAUUUCCUGGCAAAUGAUUGAUUAUAAAUUGAAAUGGACAAGCAUAUCUUGCGCACUCAAGUAUGCUGCUUGCCUUAUGCUAUUUUGCCAAUAUUUCCUGAAGUACCAUUGAACAUAACUCUCUUGUAUUCAUCAUCUGCAUUGACUUUUCUAUGUUCUCAUCUUUGGUUAGAUGUAAGUUUAAUUUUCAGUACAAUUACUAAUUUACAAGGUAUAAUCGUGCUAUGUUGUUCAUUACAUCACAAGCACAGUUCAUUUGUUGGUGGUUUGGAAAUUUUUAAAGUUUGUGAUAAUUUAAAAGCAAGGUUAUUAAGGUACAUAAAUAUAGUAGAUAUAUGUUCAUUCAAAUGACGUCGUCUUAAACAUAGAGGAACUUUGACCGAAUAUUAUUUCAUAUGCUUGUCUUAAUGAAUGUGAGAAGAUGAAAAUAGGAAAUAUGCGAGGUAUCGAUAGCUUUCACGUGAUUUAUUUAUGUAGUCAAUUUGCUUUCCAAAUUUAAACCAUUAUUAUUUUGCCCUACGCUCUACACCUGAUGCAGAAUGCUCCAUAUUUGUGCAAAAAAGAUGCCAUAACUCUUAUCUUCUGUGAUGCAAUUAUUCAAUAAAUUAAUCAUUUUUUUUCUACCAUUUUGUCAUCUUAUUGUUUCGAUUGCAAUUUAAUUUUUAAUUUUUAAUUUUCCUAGGUGAAAGAGUCUCCAAGUAUAUGGGAGGACUAUUAUUCAGCAACUACAUUGUAGGGAUGGCAAUGGGGCUCGCUAGCUCGGACUGCCCGUGGUUCGGUCUGGAAAAAGCCUGAGUCGGCCCGUGUGACUUGUCGGCCUAUAAUAAUAAUAAUAAUAAUAAUAAUAAUAAUAAUAAUAAUAAUAAUUAAUUAAAGGCAAUAACCUGCUGCCUCAAAUAAGACUGCUGCCUUAUUUCAUUUGAGGUAGCGGGUUGCUGCCUAUGUUUAAAAAAAAAGAAAAAAAAAAUCGAGCCUGCUGACUCGACUUGUGGAAGCCUUAUGCGGCGGAAUUUUCCAUUUGUCCUUUUGUAGUCUAAUAGUUUCAUUUCUAGGUUUGUGGAAUAUAUAUAUAUAUAAUUUUUUUUUUGGGAAAUAUAUUGGAUUUUUGUAUACUUUAGAAUUUUGGAUCGCGAUUUCGUAUGGAUAUUGUUACAUUUUGGAGUCAAUUAUAAUGACU
rnacentral:lncRNA from 1 species